UAACGCGUGGAUAACCUGCCGUAUACCGGGGGAUAACACUUAGAAAUAGGUGCUAAUACCGCAUAAGCGCACGGCUCCGCAUGGGGCAGUGUGAAAAACUCCGGUGGUAUACGAUGGAUCCGCGUCUGAUUAGCUAGUUGGCGGGGUAACGGCCCACCAAGGCAGCGAUCAGUAGCCGGCCUGAGAGGGUGGACGGCCACAUUGGGACUGAGACACGGCCCAAACUCCUACGGGAGGCAGCAGUGGGGAAUAUUGCACAAUGGGGGAAACCCUGAUGCAGCGACGCCGCGUGAGUGAAGAAGUAUCUCGGUAUGUAAAGCUCUAUCAGCAGGGAAGAAAGAAAUGACGGUACCUGACUAAGAAGCCCCGGCUAACUACGUGCCAGCAGCCGCGGUAAUACGUAGGGGGCAAGCGUUAUCCGGAUUUACUGGGUGUAAAGGGAGCGUAGACGGUUUUUCAAGUCUGAAGUGAAAGCCCGCGGCUCAACUGCGGAACGGCUUUGGAAACUGAGGGACUAGAGUGCUGGAGGGGCAGGCGGAAUUCCUGGUGUAGCGGUGAAAUGCGUAGAUAUCAGGAGGAACACCGGUGGCGAAGGCGGCCUGCUGGGCAGUAACUGACGUUGAGGCUCGAAAGCGUGGGGAGCAAACAGGAUUAGAUACCCUGGUAGUCCACGCGGUAAACGAUGAAUGCUAGGUGU
rnacentral:rRNA from 1 species